rnacentral:rRNA from 1 species
UACGUAGGUGGCAAGCGUUGUCCGGAAUUAUUGGGCGUAAAGCGCGCGCAGGCGGUCCUUUAAGUCUGAUGUGAAAGCCCACGGCUUAAACGUGGAGGGUCAUUGGAAACUGGUCGACUUGAGUGCAGAAGAGGGAAGUGGAAUUCCAUGUGUAGCGGUGAAAUGCGUAGAGAUAUGGAGGAACACCAGUGGCGAAGGCGGCUUCCUGGUCUGUAACUGACACUGAGGCGCGAAAGCGUGGGGAGCAAACAGGAUUAGAUACCCUGGUA